UACAGAGGGUGCGAGCGUUAAUCGGAAUUACUGGGCGUAAAGGGCGCGUAGGCGGUUGAUUAAGUUGUAUGUGAAAUCCCUGGGCUUAACCUAGGAACUGCAUAGAAUACUGGUUGACUGGAGUGCGGUAGAGGGUAGUGGAAUUUCCGGUGUAGCGGUGAAAUGCGUAGAUAUCGGAAGGAACACCAGUGGCGAAGGCGGCUACCUGGACUGACACUGACGCUGAGGCGCGAAAGCGUGGGUAGCAAACAGG
rnacentral:rRNA from 1 species